CCUACGGGAGGCAGCAGUGGGGAAUAUUGGGCAAUGGGCGCAAGCCUGACCCAGCAACGCCGCGUGAAGGAAGAAGGCUUUCGGGUUGUAAACUUCUUUUAAGAGGGAAGAGCAGAAGACGGUACCUCUUGAAUAAGCCACGGCUAACUACGUGCCAGCAGCCGCGGUAAUACGUAGGUGGCAAGCGUUGUCCGGAUUUACUGGGGGUAAAGGGCGUGCAGCCGGGAAGACAAGUCAGAUGUGAAAUCCCGCGGCUCAACCGCGGAACUGCAUUUGAAACUGUUUUUCUUGAGUACCGGAGAGGUCAUCGGAAUUCCGUGUGUAGCGGUGAAAUGCGUAGAUAUAAGGAAGAACACCAGUGGCGAAGGCGGAUGACUGGACGGCAACUGACGGUGAGGCGCGAAAGCGUGGGGAGCAAACAGGAUUAGAUACCCCAGUAGUC
rnacentral:rRNA from 1 species